rnacentral:lncRNA from 1 species
GCCCACUUCCCAAGGUGAUGGAAAGAUGAAAUCAUGAAUGUGAAAGGUCUUGAGAAGCACAAGUUGCUCACAAAUAUAAUAUAGAUUUUAAAUGGCCUUUGACUUUUUAAAGGGGGUCUUGGGCAACAAAGAAGAAAAUCCUGGAAGAGUGAGGCUGAGAAAUUACCCUUGGAUCCUCAGUGAAAGCUGAGUCUCAGUGGGAAUUGACUGUGAUCCCAGGCCUGACCAGAGACGGUACAUGCAUUAACCCCACCAUUAGCCAUGACAUUAGACCCCCAGGCGACAGCUGGGCUAAUCAUUAAAGGGACUCCAACAGAACAGAAGUUAAGAGAGAAGGCAAAGGGUGAGUUGGAGAAGCCAGAAAUGGAAGAAAAUGUGUGUGGGGGAGAGAGGAAGGGAGAGUACAUGUAAGAAAGAGACAGAAAAAGAUGUGGAGUAAACUGAUAAAGAAGUGGAGAUGAAGGAGAGAGGAAACAAGAGGUGACAGUGCCGGAGAUGAUGGGCACCACUGGCAGCUGCUCCUGUGACAUCCAUGACAUGGACUCCUCAGGCACUGGUUCGAUGGCAGACACCACACUCGACACAUUCUCAUCAGAGCCCUGCUCUCAACUCUUGGUAUACCUACCCCAAUUAUUUCAGAGAGAAAAAGUUGAGGAGGGUCUCCAAGGCAACCUGAUCUUGACUCCUCCCACCCCAGGUCUCCUGCAGGCCUUGGGCAGAAGGUGGCCAGGACAACCAGAAAGUAGAGGGUAUGACCCACCCAGCAAACAGAGGGCUCUCAGUUAGUG